rnacentral:tRNA from 1 species
GGGGUUGUGGCUCAGAGGUAGAGUACUCGCCUGUCAUGCGUGAGGCACUGGGUUCAAUCCUCAUCACCA